GUGCUUGCUUUGGCAGUACAUACCCUAAAAUUGGAAUAAUACAGAGAAGAUUAGUACGGCCCCUGUGCAAGGACAACAUGCAAGUUUGUAAAGCAUUCCAUAUUUUU
ensembl:snRNA U6 U6 spliceosomal RNA